UGCAAAAGUAAUUGCAGUUUUUGCAUUAAAAAUAAAGCAAAAACCGCAAUUGCUUUUGCACCAAC
rnacentral:miRNA from 1 species